rnacentral:rRNA from 1 species
GACGAACGCUGGCGGCGUGCUUAACACAUGCAAGUCGAACGAAGAGCGACGGAAGCUUGCUUCUAUCAAUCUUAGUGGCGAACGGGUGAGUAACGCGUAAUCAACCUGCCCUUCAGAGGGGGACAACAGUUGGAAACGACUGCUAAUACCGCAUACGAUCUAAUCUCGGCAUCGAGGAUAGAUGAAAGGUGGCCUCUACAUGUAAGCUAUCACUGAAGGAGGGGAUUGCGUCUGAUUAGCUAGUUGGAGGGGUAACGGCCCACCAAGGCGAUGAUCAGUAGCCGGUCUGAGAGGAUGAACGGCCACAUUGGGACUGAGACACGGCCCAGACUCCUACGGGAGGCAGCAGUGGGGAAUCUUCCGCAAUGGACGAAAGUCUGACGGAGCAACGUCGCGUGAGUGAUGACGGCCUUCGGGUUGUAAAGCUCUGUUAAUCGGGACGAAAGGCCUUCUUGCGAAU